rnacentral:rRNA from 1 species
GACGAACGCUGGCGGCGUGCUUAACACAUGCAAGUCGAACGAAGAGCGAUGGAAGCUUGCUUCUCUCAAUCUUAGUGGCGAACGGGUGAGUAACGCGUAAUCAACCCGCCCUUCAGAGGGGGACAACAGUUGGAAACGACUGCUAAUACCGCAUACGAUCUAAUCUCGGCAUCGAGGAUAGAUGAAAGGUGGCCUCUACAUGUAAGCUAUCGCUGAAGGAGGGGAUUGCGUCUGAUUAGCUAGUUGGAGGGGUAACGGCCCACCAAGGCGAUGAUCAGUAGCCGGUCUGAGAGGAUGAACGGCCACAUUGGGACUGAGACACGGCCCAGACUCCUACGGGAGGCAGCAGUGGGGAAUCUUCCGCAAUGGACGAAAGUCUGACGGAGCAACGCCGCGUGAGUGAUGACGGCCUUCGGGUUGUAAAGCUCUGUUAAUCGGGACGAAAGGCCUUCUUGCGAAUAGUGAGAAGGAUUGACGGUACCGGAAGAGAAAGCCACGGCUAACUACGUG